rnacentral:sRNA from 1 species
CAUUAGGUUUCUUGCUUCUCAGAAGACACCUCUCCUUGGUCUGGGAGGGCUUCAGACACGGGGGUUGGCUCCGCACAACAGCAAGCGAGCUGGUGGGGGUGGCGUAAAGGUGAACAUGGGUCUCCUCCACUGCGUGGUGGAGGCAGCUUCUUUGCAUUUCUUGAAAUCACAGAUUCCUAGAGCACUAUGGGUUCAGCAGCAAAUGAGACAGACCCAAACCCGGACCCUGCCUUUGUGCUGCUGAAUGUCAGGAUGAUUAUUUCAGAAACUGGAAUCCCAACAAGCCCUUUGACCAAGCCCUGGACCCAUCCAAGGACCCCUGCCUGAAGGUAAAAUGCAGCCCUCACAAAGUGUGUGUGACCCAGGACUACCAGACCGCCCUGUGUGUCAGCCGCAAGCACCUGCUCCCCAGGCAAAAGAAGGGGAACAUGGCCCACAAACACUGGGUUGGACCUUCGAAUUUGGUCAAGUGCAAGCCCU